GACGAACGCUGGCGGCGUGCUUAACACAUGCAAGUCGAACGGACCCUUUGGGGUUAGUGGCGAACGGGUGAGUAACACGUGGGUGAUCUGCCCUGCACUUUGGGAUAAGCCUGGGAAACUGGGUCUAAUACCGGAUAGGACUACGCACUGCAUGGUGUGUGGUGGAAAGCUUUUGCGGUGUGGGAUGGGCCCGCGGCCUAUCAGCUUGUUGGUGGGGUGAUGGCCUACCAAGGCGACGACGGGUAGCCGGCCUGAGAGGGUGACCGGCCACACUGGGACUGAGAUACGGCCCAGACUCCUACGGGAGGCAGCAGUGGGGAAUAUUGCACAAUGGGCGCAAGCCUGAUGCAGCGACGCCGCGUGAGGGAUGACGGCCUUCGGGUUGUAAACCUCUUUCGCCAGGGACGAAGCGCAAGUGACGGUACCUGGAGAAGAAGGACCGGCCAACUACGUGCCAGCGGCCGCGGUAAUACGUAGGGUCCGAGCGUUGUCCGGAAUUACUGGGCGUAAAGAGCUCGUAGGUGGUUUGUCGCGUUGUUCGUGAAAACUCACAGCUUAACUGUGGGCGUGCGGGCGAUACGGGCAGACUGGAGUACUGCAGGGGAGACUGGAAUUCCUGGUGUAGCGGUGGAAUGCGCAGAUAUCAGGAGGAACACCGGUGGCGAAGGCGGGUCUCUGGGCAGUAACUGACGCUGAGGAGCGAAAGCGUGGGGAGCGAACAGGAUUAGAUACCCUGGUAGUCCACGCCGUAAACGGUGGGUACUAGGUGUGGGUUUCCUUCCUUGGGAUCCGUGCCGUAGCUAACGCAUUAAGUACCCCGCCUGGGGAGUACGGCCGCAAGGCUAAAACUCAAAGGAAUUGACGGGGGCCCGCACAAGCGGCGGAGCAUGUGGAUUAAUUCGAUGCAACGCGAAGAACCUUACCUGGGUUUGACAUGCACAGGACGCCGGCAGAGAUGUCGGUUCCCUUGUGGCCUGUGUGCAGGUGGUGCAUGGCUGUCGUCAGCUCGUGUCGUGAGAUGUUGGGUUAAGUCCCGCAACGAGCGCAACCCUUGUCUCAUGUUGCCAGCACGUUAUGGUGGGGACUCGUGAGAGACUGCCGGGGUCAACUCGGAGGAAGGUGGGGAUGACGUCAAGUCAUCAUGCCCCUUAUGUCCAGGGCUUCACACAUGCUACAAUGGCCGGUACAAAGGGCUGCGAUGCCGUGAGGUGGAGCGAAUCCUUUCAAAGCCGGUCUCAGUUCGGAUCGGGGUCUGCAACUCGACCCCGUGAAAUCGGAGUCGCUAGUAAUCGCAGAUCAGCAACGCUGCGGUGAAUACGUUCCCGGGCCU
rnacentral:rRNA from 1 species